rnacentral:rRNA from 1 species
CUCGUAGGCGGUUAGUCACGUCGGAUGUGAAAACCCAGUGCUUAACACUGGGCCUGCAUUCGAUACGGGCUGACUAGAGUGUUGUAGGGGAGACUGGAACUCCUGGUGUAGCGGUGAAAUGCGCAGAUAUCAGGAGGAACACCGGUGGCGAAGGCGGGUCUCUGGGCAACUACUGACGCUGAGGAGACGAAAGCGUGGGGAGCAAACA